GGAAUCUUGCACAAUGGAGGAAACUCUGAUGCAGCGAUGCCGCGUGAGUGAAGAAGGCCUUUGGGUUGUAAAGCUCUUUUGUAGGGGAAGAUAAUGACUGUACCCUAAGAAUAAGGUCCGGCUAACUUCGUGCCAGCAGCCGCGGUAAUACGAAGGGACCUAGCGUAGUUCGGAAUUACUGGGCGUAAAGCGCGCGUAGGCCGUUGAGUUAGUUAAUUGUGAAAUCCCAAAGCUUAACUUUGGAACUGCAAUUAAAACUGCUCGACUAGAGUUUGAUAGAGGAAAGCGGAAUACAUAGUGUAGAGGUGAAAUUCGUAGAUAUUAUGUAGAACACCAGUUGCGAAGGCGGCUUUCUGGAUCAACACUGACGCUGAGGCGCGAAAGUAUGGGCAGCAAAGAGGAUUAGAUACCCUCGUAGUCCAUACCAUAAACGAUGAUUGCUAGAUGUUGGAGAUUUAUUUUCAGUAUCGCAGCUAACGCAUUAAGCAAUCCGCCUGGGGAGUACGACCGCAAGGUUAAAACUCAAAUGAAUUGACGG
rnacentral:rRNA from 1 species